GACGAACGCUGGCGGCGUGCUUAACACAUGCAAGUCGAACGGAAAGGCCCUGCUUUUGUGGGGUGCUCGAGUGGCGAACGGGUGAGUAACACGUGGGUAACCUGCCCUUGACUUUGGGAUAACUUCAGGAAACUGGGGCUAAUACCGGAUAGGAGCUCCUGCUGCAUGGUGGGGGUUGGAAAGUUUCGGCGGUUGGGGAUGGACUCGCGGCUUAUCAGCUUGUUGGUGGGGUAGUGGCUUACCAAGGCUUUGACGGGUAGCCGGCCUGAGAGGGUGACCGGCCACAUUGGGACUGAGAUACGGCCCAGACUCCUACGGGAGGCAGCAGUGGGGAAUAUUGCACAAUGGGCGGAAGCCUGAUGUAGCAACGCCGCGUGCGGGAUGACGGCCUUCGGGUUGUAAACCGCUUUCGCCUGUGACGAAGCGUGAGUGACGGUAAUGGGUAAAGAAGCACCGGCUAACUACGUG
rnacentral:rRNA from 1 species